rnacentral:rRNA from 1 species
CAUCAUUAAGUUGGGCACUCUAAGUUGACUGCCGGUGACAAACCGGAGGAAGGUGGGGAUGACGUCAAAUCAUCAUGCCCCUUAUGAUUUGGGCUACACACGUGCUACAAUGGACAAUACAAAGGGCAGCGAAACCGCGAGGUCAAGCAAAUCCCAUAAAGUUGUUCUCAGUUCGGAUUGUAGUCUGCAACUCGACUACAUGAAGCUGGAAUCGCUAGUAAUCGUAGAUCAGCAUGCUACGGUGAAUACGUUCCCGGGUCUUGUACACACCGCCCGUCACACCACGAGAGUUUGUAACACCCGAAGCCGGUGGAGUAACCAUUUGGAGCUAGCCGUCGAAGGUGGGACAAAUGAUUGGGGUGAAGUCGUAACAAGGUAGCCGUAUCGGAAGGUGCGGCUGGAUCACCUCCUUUCUAAGGA